GGCACGGUGGUCUAGCGGUUAGAACGCUGGCCUUGGGGUCUCGGGUUCGAUUCCCGGCGGUGCCC
rfam:Zootermopsis nevadensis contig30282, whole genome shotgun sequence.